rnacentral:rRNA from 1 species
AUGGCUCAGGAUGAACGCUAGCGACAGGCUUAACACAUGCAAGUCGAGGGGCAGCAUAGAAGUAGCAAUACUUUGGUGGCGACCGGCGCACGGGUGAGUAACGCGUAUGCAACCUACCUAUCAGAGGGGAAUAACCCGGCGAAAGUCGGACUAAUACCGCAUAAAACAGGGGCACCGCAUGGUGAUAUUUGUUAAAGAAAUUCGCUGAUAGAUGGGCAUGCGUUCCAUUAGGUAGUUGGUGAGGUAACGGCUCACCAAGCCGACGAUGGAUAGGGGAACUGAGAGGUUGGUCCCCCACACUGGUACUGAGACACGGACCAGACUCCUACGGGAGGCAGCAGUGAGGAAUAUUGGUCAAUGGGCGGGAGCCUGAACCAGCCAAGUCGCCGUGAAGGAAGAAGGAUCUAUGGUUCGUAAACUUCUUUUGCAGGGGAAUAAGGUGCAGGACGUGUCCUGUUUUGUAUGUACCCUGAGAAUAAGGAUCGGCUAACUCCGUGCCAGCCGCCGC